rnacentral:rRNA from 1 species
AAUCAACGCUGGCGGCGCGCUUAACACAUGCAAGUCGAACGAGAAAGCCCGCAAGGGUGAGUAAAGUGGCGUACGGGUGAGUAACACGUGGGUAAUCUACCUCUGGGUGGGGAAUAACCC